rnacentral:rRNA from 1 species
UACGAAGGGGGCUAGCGUUGCUCGGAAUGACUGGGCGUAAAGGGCGCGUAGGCGGCUCAUACAGUCAGAUGUGAAAUUCCUGGGCUUAACCUGGGGGCUGCAUUUGAUACGUGUGGGCUUGAGUGGGGAAGAGGGUCGUGGAAUUCCCAGUGUAGAGGUGAAAUUCGUAGAUAUUGGGAAGAACACCGGUGGCGAAGGCGGCUCUCUGGGCCGGUACUGACGCUGAGGAGCGAAAGCGUGGGGAGCAAACAGG